rnacentral:rRNA from 1 species
GACAGAGGGUGCAAGCGUUGUUCGGAAUUAUUGGGCGUAAAGCGUCUGUAGGCUGUUUAUUAAGUCUAAAGUUAAAUCAUCAAGCUCAACUUGGUCUCGCUUUAGAUACUAAUAGACUAGAGUAUGUUAAGGGUUAUUGGAAUUCCCGGUGUAGUGGUGAAAUAUGUAGAUAUCGGGAGGAACUCCAGUGGCGAAAGCGAAUAACUAGGGCAUAACUGACGCUGCGAGACGAAAGUGUGGUGAGCAAAAAGG